rnacentral:lncRNA from 1 species
UCAACUGAACUUCCAUUAUCGACUAGGACUCGAUGUACAUCAUAAUUGGCAAUAUUUAAAGAAACAACCACAGGAUCAUCAUGUGGACACUUUAUUCCAUCUAGAUCGACUUCAGAAAAAGUAACUUCAUCGUCGACCUUCAUCUUCUUAUGCUCCUUAUCUUCAGUUCAGCUCGAAUCUAAGGUAUGAUGAACGAGUUGCCCC